UCCUACUUCUCGAUUCUAGUCCUCCUGGGC
rnacentral:piRNA from 1 species